CAAGGUCGGCGGACAAGCAUCUUCCCUCAACAAACACAGGACUACACUGGCAGACUGACUCUGCCACUGAUGGAUCACACUUGGGUCCACUGACCCAGAGAGGACACUCUAACUCAGAGAUCAUCAACCCUAACCUCUGGACGGCUCUCGGUGCAAUAAAAGAAUGAGAUGCGCCAGGGUCCAUCAAGGCAUACACAUCUGAACAACCAAUGACUAAGUUACCUGCCACCACGGUGUUAGAUGCAUCUGCCUCCUGCUGUGUCA
rnacentral:lncRNA from 1 species